AGUUCCGCACAUAAUCGACAUGGCCAACAUGACAGCCAGAACAAAAUGAGGUUCAAAGGAUGGUAUGUGGGUUUAACGAUGGAAGAAUUUGGAACUUGUGUUGGGCAUUCAUCAUUUGGAAGCAGAUGCCGUGAUUUCUGAUUACCAAGAAUAAAUGUAUAGUUUAUUAAAAAGGCGAUUGAAGAUAUGGCUGCCAGAAGUUUGGGAUACUUACUAGAAUUGCUAAUGCCAGAGGCAUCCCAAGUUGAGCCCAACUUAAAAAUCAACUGAGUUUACAAUGGCAGUUUUCAAACGUGUUUAGUAACAUGCCAAAACAAGUCAUUUUGGUACGGGUCAAAAUUGGCUGGGUAAGGUUGCCGUAAACAGUUUUUUGCACAAGCUUAGCCUACAAUUGAUUUAGAUGUCAAAAUUGGUUCAAAAAGUGAUAUUUUAUUAUUUUGUUUUUGAACAUCCAGGCAUACACCAUUGAGCAGACAGAUUCGUAGAUUUUUUUUAAUUAAUACUUUCUGCACAAGCUUAGCCUAUGAUCAAGCAUUUGACUUUGACCUCAUCAAGUAUAUAGAGAUAUGCAUGACCUCACCCAUAAAGUUGAUGUUCAUAUCCAGUAGUUGAACUAUUUUUAUAUGCAUCAACUUUUUUAUAUU